GCAUUAUACAGCGAAACUGCGAAUGGCUCAUUAAAUCAGUUAUCGUUUAUUUGAUGGUGCCUUACUACAUGGAUAACCGUGGUAAUUCUAGAGCUAAUACAUGCUAAAAACCCCGACUUCGGAAGGGGUGUGUUUAUUAGAUUAAAAACCAAUGCCCUUCGGGGCUCCCUGGUGAUUCAUGAUAACCUCUCGAACCGCAUGGCCUUGCGCCGGCGGUGGUUCAUUCAAAUUUCUGCCCUAUCAACUUUCGAUGGCUGGGUCUUGGCCAGCCAUGGUGACAACGGGUAACGGAGGGUUAGGGCUCGACCCCGGAGAAGAAGCAUGAGAAUCGGCUUCUACAUCCAAGGAAGGCAGCAGGCGCGCAAAUUACACAAUGGCAACUCGCCGAUGUAGUGACGAACAAUACCGAUGCAGGGCUCUUUUGGGUCUUGCAAUUGGAAUGAGUACAAUUUAAAUCCCUUAACGAGGAACAAUUGGAGGGCAAGUCUGGUGCCAGCAGCCGCGGUAAUUCCAGCUCCAAUAGCGUAUAUUAAAGUUGUUGCAGUUAAAAAGCUCGUAGUUGAACCUUGGGCCUGGCUGGCCGGUCCGCCUCACCGCGUGCACUGGUCCGGCCGGGUCUUUCCCUCUGGGGAACCGCAUGUCCUUCACUGGGCGUGCUGGGGAACCAGGACUUUUACUUUGAAAAAAUUAGAGUGUUCAAAGCAGGCCUAUGCUCGAAUACAUUAGCAUGGAAUAAUAGAAUAGGACGUGCGGUUCUAUUUUGUUGGUUUCUAGGACCGCCGUAAUGAUUAAUAGGGACAGUCGGGGGCAUCAGUAUUCAAUUGUCAGAGGUGAAAUUCUUGGAUCUAUUGAAGACUAACUACUGCGAAAGCAUUUGCCAAGGAUGUUUUCAUUAAUCAGGAACGAAAGUUAGGGGAUCGAAGACGAUCAGAUACCGUCGUAGUCUUAACCAUAAACUAUGCCGACUAGGGAUCGGACGAUGUUAUUUUUUGACUCGUUCGGCACCUUACACGAAAGUACAAGUUUCU
rnacentral:rRNA from 1 species